rnacentral:rRNA from 1 species
UACGUAGGGCGCAAGCGUUAUCCGGAACUAUUGGGCGUAAAGAGCUCGUAGGCGGUUUGUCGCGUCUGCCGUGAAAGUCCGGGGCUCAACUCCGGAUCUGCGGUGGGUACGGGCAGACUAGAGUGAUGUAGGGGAGACUGGAAUUCCUGGUGUAGCGGUGAAAUGCGCAGAUAUCAGGAGGAACACCGAUGGCGAAGGCAGGUCUCUGGGCCACUACUGACGCUGAGAAGCGAAAGCAUGGGGAGCGAACAGG